GGGCUGUUGUAAACAAAAGCGUUACAUUAACGUCUUCAUCAAUGGCGACCAUCGACAUCUAGGGUUCAUGCCUUCUUCUAGCUCUGAUCAGUUCAGCCAACAAUGGAGAUAGGGAGGGUUAUGUGAGACAAAUAUUCACGAUGAAUCUCUGGAUCUAGAUACCUUCGUGUCCUUUCGCUUGAGUUGUCCCAGAACCGUUACGAAGUGCAUUGAUUCAUUCCCACCGUCUUAACUUCUUUGACCCAAUCCAAGCACGACUCCUUUCUUCUAAGGUGGUUCUUCAACUAUAAAUAGGCUGGAGUUGUUGAGAACACAGAAGAUAAUCAUCCUCUGUUUACACUGCAAAGCAUCAGACCUUCACAGCCUCACGCACUUUCGACGAGCGUCAGCGUCUUCGAGUUCCUGAUAUGGAGGCAACGGUGGUCUAGGAGAUGAUAUGAACAGUGGAAGCUCAACUUAAGUUCAAUCUAAAACUGUAAGCCCUUUUUCAUUUUGGAGCAAUGCUAUUUAUUCCAUUUUGCAGUCACUAUUGGUGCUAUUGGACAAAGGUGAAACUGUUCACUGAAUGAUAAAGGUUCAAGCAAUUAAAUGCUAUUCAGAGAAAUACAUGUUUCACUUCCCAUGAGUCAUUUUGAAGCUUCAUUGAGAACAUAUUUCAGGUUUACCCUACUGUCAAAUGAUUUUAUACUAAUGUGUUACGUACUGCAUAUAACUGAUCGUAUGGAGUGUUAGAAAAUAAUUAUGAAAGUGGUCUUUAAAUCCCCAUAGUAGCUUGAGCUGUACCUAAGUGAGAAAACCAAGUUCCAACACUUUUUUUUGCUGGACAGGUAUGGAAGAUUCGACCAGCCCAUUGAUUGGAAAUUUAUAACCCAUGAAUCAGUUUCUAACUCAUAUAUUGUUUUCUAUUCAAGGUUAUGAAAAAUGUCAAAAGAUAAAAGCAAACCCUGCUUUAUUUAACAAGAUUCUCCUAAAGGAGGUCAAUGGCAAGGAGUGAUUGAAGCUUCAAGUUAUGUACAAGCUCCAUCAAUCUGACAUAUCUUGAGUAAAACAAAACACAGAAUUGUAGAUUGGAUUAGUGAAAGUUUUAUCUUCACUUACCAUUGUUCCUUAGAUUUCUUAUACUAACUUUUUGUUUCUCAAAUGAGAGAAAACUGAGAUCUCGCAUUUUGUGAAUUUGAAAGAACUCAAAAUGCCUCGACUCUCAAUCAGAAACGGAAAAGGAACAGAGAACAACUCAAAAUGCAUUUAAGGUUCA